rnacentral:rRNA from 1 species
UACGUAGGGGGCAAGCGUUGUCCGGAAUCAUUGGGCGUAAAGCGCGUGUAGGCGGUUCAGUAAGUCUGCUGUGAAAGUCCAGGGCUCAACCCUGGGAUGCCGGUGGAUACUGCUGGACUAGAGUGCGGAAGAGGCGAGUGGAAUUCCUGGUGUAGCGGUGAAAUGCGCAGAUAUCAGGAGGAACACCGAUGGCGAAGGCAGCUCGCUGGGACGGUACUGACACUGGAGAAGACGAAAG